UCCUACGGGGGGCUGCAAGCGUUAUUCGGAAUCAUUGGGCGUAAAGAGCACGUAGGCGGCCUGGUAAGUCAGAUGUGAAAGCCCGGGGCUUAACCCCGGAAGUGCAUUUGAUACUGUCAGGCUUGAGUAUGGGAGAGGGAAGUGGAAUUCCUGGUGUAGAGGUGAAAUUCGUAGAUAUCAGGAGGAACACCGGUGGCGAAGGCGACUUCCUGGACCAAUACUGACGCUGAGGUGCGAAGGCGUGGGUAGCAAACAGGAUUAGAUACCCCAGUAGUCAAG
rnacentral:rRNA from 1 species